UACGGGGGGGGCAAGCGUUGUUCGGAAUUACUGGGCGUAAAGGGCGCGUAGGCGGCCUUCUAAGUCGAACGUGAAAUCCCUGGGCUCAACCCAGGAACUGCGUCCGAUACUGGAAGGCUUGAAUCCGGGAGAGGGAUGCGGAAUUCCAGGUGUAGCGGUGAAAUGCGUAGAUAUCUGGAGGAACACCGGUGGCGAAGGCGGCAUCCUGGACCGGCAUUGACGCUGAGGCGCGAAAGCUAGGGGAGCAAACGGGG
rnacentral:rRNA from 1 species